rnacentral:rRNA from 1 species
AUGGCGUCGAAGAAGACGCCGAAGGGCAAGUCGGGCUUCUUCGGCGUGAGGCAGAAGCCCUCCGGUAAUUGGGGUGUGGAGUUCUCCGACACUGGAAGGCGUUGGUGGAUCGGCACGUACCCCUCCGCCCACGAGGCCGCGCGUGCCUACGACGUGGCGGUGUGGUGUGCCGAGAGGCCUCGGUCGCACCUCAACUUCCCAGAGAUCGAGACUCGGGCGGAAGCGGAGAUGCUUGUGCCGCAGGGCAUCAACAUGAAGGAGAUCACGACGAAGAAGAAGAAGACGAAGAAGCCGUCGGUUGUCGUCAGUGCUGGCGAGACAGACGAGGAGGCUAUGGCGAGGUUUGCUCGGGGGCAUCCGGAGUACGUCCAGGCCGAGUUGGAGUACUACUAG